UCACCCACUCCCCUAUGUCUCACCAAAUUCUCGUAAUUAGGGUUCCUAAUCUCCAUGGAAAUCCACUCGUAGGAUACAAAUCCUCCACUCUUUCUUGAUUUCCGCACUUCAUUUAACUGUAUUGUCAACUAAAAUCACUUUGAUUUCACCGUUCCGCACUUGAUUUAACUGUAUUGUCAACUAAAAUCACUUUGAUUUCACCGAUUUCGAGCGCCCCUGAUAGGUGGAGAUUGGUGAAGGCUCAUGGUAAGGUCGUGCUUCCGACUGAUGAUGACAUGGGGAACAGUGAAGUCGGGCAUAAUGCUCUUGGUGCCGGACGAAUUGAAAACUGUAAUAGCGACUUCUUCCUCUGUGGCAUCGCCAGUAAAUAGGUUGAAUUGGUGACUUCGUUUGGCAUCGCAUCUCUUCUCUGGUAUGCUUACAUCAAUUACUUGAAACGAGUUGGAUGAUUAGAUGAUUAAUUGUUUGAUAUUAUUUGGCUGUUUGUGUUAAUUUAUUAAUUUGAAAAACGUUGACAGUGUGUUUGAUUUAUGAUUAUUUAAUUAGGAAAAUACCCUUGAGUUUUACAAGCUUUCAUAUCGAUUGUUUAAUUCAGUUUACAAUUAGAUGUAUUUUACUUGGGCUACUGUAAGGAAAAUACUUGGUAAAGUUAUUAUCCCUAAACACAUAUGAUAGGUUUAUUCAUACAUGAGCUAAUUGGCAUUCGUUGCUGACUGUCAGAUGAGUACCAGCACCGAGCACCCAACGUUGUUUCUAGUGGAUAAUGUGUAAUCAAUUUGUGCCCUGGACAUCCACAUGGAUGAAUGGGGUGUGGAUGUAAUUCCAUUAUUUAUACAUCAUUCAUUUCACUUUAUUUUGUAAAAGAUUUUUGAAUGGUUACAGGUAAACCAUUCAAAAUAUCAAAUUAAUGCCUUGGUUUGUUGCAGUUCUAUACACCAACUAUUGGAAAAAAGAAGAUAAAUCAUGGAAGUCAGUUCUUCUCGAUAACAGUUUUUAUCUUUUCUUCAUGCUCACUAUUUUUCUCAAUAACUUAAAAAAAAACAUUUUUUUAACCAACCCGACCCGACCCUAAACCCGUUCUGACCCGAACCAAAAUAACCCUUUUUUAAUUAACCCAUUUUGACCCGAACCCAUUUUGACCCAUGACCCGACCCGAUCCUUGGCGCCAGGUGGUCAGCACCUUGGCGCCAUGCUUAGGGUACCUAAUGAAAGGGGGAGGGGGGUCCUGUGCCACCGGCUUGUUGUGGUGGAGUUAAAGGACUCAAUAAUGCUGCAAAGUCGACUCCUGACCGUCAGGCUGCCUGCGGAUGCUUAAAGAGUGUGUAUGCGUCCAACUCGGGCGUUAAUCUCAGCUUUGCAAGCAGCCUCCCGGGGAAGUGCGGUGUCAACAUCCCUUAUAAGAUUAGCCCUAGCACCGACUGCUCCACUGUUCAUUAAGGCUGGAACUUAUGCAUGAAGGGAAUAUUAGAAGCAUAUGGUGUAUUUGGCUAUAAGCCUAUAAAUAAUGCUCUUGUUAUCUCUCACAGUGUCUUUGGCUGUAAAGGGCAAAACUUUAUUAAUGCUCUUGUUAAAAACAUUUUUUAAACCAACCUAACCCGACCCUAAACCCGUUCUGGCCCAAACCCGUUUCGACCCGAACCCAAAUAACCCUUUUUUUAAUUAACCCAUUUUGACCCGAACCCAUUUCGACCCGAACCCGUUUUGACCCAUGACCCGACCCGACCCGUUUGCCAGGUCUAAUUUUGCCAUGAGUUUUCGUUUCAAACUAACCAAAUUGUGUAUCUUGUAUCCUUUGAUAACUGGGGCUCAAUAAAGGUUUCUUCCAUGCCUUCAACAAUGUGUCGGUGAUGACAUGGUUAUGGUUAAGGUCAAUUCUCUUAAAGCAUGGAUUAGCACUACUAUUAUCUUUCAGUCUUGAAACUAGGGACGGCAAAACGGACCUGUUAGGUGGGUUAGAUAACAAGUCAAAAUGGGUAGAUUUUUAUGUCGCCAGAGGAUAAAGAGUGGCUCGAGAAGGAUAUUGAAGAUUGUGUUCGUUUCUCUCCGGGCAGACGUCAAAUUCCGUUUUAUGAGAAUGAAGAGUGGGUCAGGCAAUUCGGAGAGAAACUGUAAGUUGAAAUGCAAAGCGAAUUGUAUCAACAACAUUUUUGUUACAAACUACAUUUUCAUGGUUAUUGAUGAUACGGAGAAAGGUCGAUACCGUUAUGCGGGUCAGUGGAAACAUGGCAGAAUGCAUGGUUGCGGUGUUUUUGAACUCAAUGAACGAACCUAUUAUGGACGAUUUUACUUUGGAUACAUAUACACUUAAUAAAUGUGGUCAAAACAUUGUUUUUCUGGUACAGUGGUCCGAGAAGAGCGGGGUCCAUAUAGUGAUCCGCAGCAUCCCUACUUGUAUGAAGGAGAAGAUAUGUGGAUGGCCCCAGGCUUCAUCAAUCAGUUUUUUGAAGUCCCAGAUUACCGGAAAGCUUAUAUGGAAGACGUGGAUGAAGAACAACAAAUGUGGAUAAACUCGUUUUAUAAGGCCCCAUUAAGGUUACAUAUGCCAGCUGAGCUCGUAGUACACAUUAGAUGAUUUGAACAUGUAAUGCAUUCAACGCGCUCCACUGUAUAAUUUAAUCUGAUGAGUAGAGACAUCCGCCGCAACGCGCGGGCAUUCCUACUAGUAUCAAUAAUAUAAACCACAUUUAAUAAGAAACUUUGAAUAAAGAUUUUAUGUUCUCUUAUUACAGGUCAUGUAAAAGCUCUUCAAGCGUUACAUGGAACCAGUUGGCACGAGUGUUUUCUUGGUCUUUGGAUGGCCGUUCUUCGGCUUGUUCAAAGGAUUCGGAUUUCUAUCAAAUUUAGUCUUUUUUUGUGUAUCAAAACAACCUGCAAAUUUGGAUGUUUAAUCGUCUUGUUUGUUUUCAGGAAAGAGAUCCCAUUGAAGGUCCUAUGCCGCGUUUGGAUACUCGUUUAUGCAUGUUAUUGUCUAUCACAACUUUAGUGGUUUCUGAUUUAAUCGAGGACGAAGAAAGUUUGUCACAAAACAAUAUUAACUGCCAAACAACACAAACUUGCAAAGAAAACCGCCGUAUGGAGUUGGUGUCAAGUUUACAAAGUUUGGAUGACUAUCAGACCUUGCUGACUCCUCCUCAGGCGGUUAUUGCCGCCGCCAAUCAGGCUGCUGCAAGAGCAAUGAUGAUCAUAUCCGGCAUUAAUGUCGGUAGCAGCGCAUACUUUGACCUGGUCAACACGAAAGAUAUUGUAGCUGGAAACUUGCACCAUUUGAUAGUCGAGGCUUAUAUCGCAAGAAAUCUGUUGGAUACAUCAGCGUAUUACUGGCCAGGCUACAUAACCGGUUGUAUUAACCAAAUCCCGCAUGGCAUGCCAGCUCAGGUUGAACCCGCCAAACCGUUUAGCUAAACGGGUCAAGGUUAUAGCCGAAAGCCUGUCUGAGGUUUGAGAGAGUGUUCAAAUGAAAAGAUAAGGUGGAUAAAGAUACUAUACUCGAUAGGAUGUCACAAAUUGAAGCUAUGUUAACAAGUACGAUUCGAAGAUAGGCUACAAACACUUGGUUUUAAAUGUUUCGAUGUUUAUCAUAUUAGGAUAAUUUUAGUUAUCUGAUGUUUUAGCUGGUAUUUCUAUUAGAAUGUUUUAUAUGCUUUUGAUACAGAGAUGUUUUAUAUAAUUUUGGGUUUUCGUGAUCUUA